CCAGACUCCUACGGGAGGCAGCAGUGGGGAAUAUUGCGCAAUGGGCGAAAGCCUGACGCAGCGACGCCGCGUGAGGGAUGAAGGUCUUCGGAUCGUAAACCUCUGUCAGCAGGGAAGAACGGUCACUGUGCUAAUCAGCAGUGAAUUGACGGUACCUGCAAAGGAAGCACCGGCUAACUCCGUGCCAGCAGCCGCGGUAAUACGGAGGGUGCGAGCGUUAUCCGGAUUUAUUGGGUUUAAAGGGUGCGUAGGCGGUUUUUUAAGUUAGUGGUUAAACGUCGGGGCUUCACCUUGAUUUGCCAUUAAUACUGUAAGACUCGAGUUCAGACGAGGUAGGCGGAAUAAGUUAAGUAGCGGUGAAAUGCUUAGAUAUAACUUAGAACUCCGAUAGCGAAGGCAGCUUACCAGACUGCGACUGACGCUGAAGCACGAGAGCGUGGGUAGCGAACAGGAUUAGAUACCCCGGUA
rnacentral:rRNA from 1 species